CCAUCAUCAUCACUAGCACAUCAUCAUCUUCAUUAUCCUCUAUAUCAUCAUCACAAUCACAAAGUUUAUUUUUCCUUCGUGUUAAUCCAUCCAAAUUACUUCUGCUUUAUCCCCCUCUUCUUCCUUCCUCCCACCUCUCUUUUCAUAAUUAUCUUCAUCUUGAAAUUGAAUGACCAGUGACAGCACUAUCUGGAGUCAUGGGUAGUUCUAGAUCUUAGUAAGUAAGGAAGUAAAAUCAUGCUUAUCAUUUUGUCAAAGCUCUUCCAUUCUCAAUUUUACAUCACGUCUUAUCAACAGACCCCCAUAUCCCAAUUUUUGGCUCAGUUUGCUUCCUCUACUUGUACUAGAAAUGCUGAUCACAUCCUUCUGCCAUCACGAGGGAGGACCCUGGACCCCACUACUUGACCACAGCUAAUUGAGUCAGAAAGGGACACCUGACCCAAGCUGAAUGUCUCUCCUAAGACUCAGGAAUCAGGAUCCCCAGAGUUCAGAAAAUUGAAAUGAUGACAAGGUGUGAUGGGGAACGUCUGUCUUGGCUGCAUGUGGCUUUAGCUAGGGUGGCCUGCCUGGGGUCUGGAGGGUCUACUUUCAAGAUGGUACACUUUUAUGGCUGUCAAAUGGUACUGGCUGCUGGCUGGGAGUCUGGCUGGAGCUGUAGGCUGGAGGACCCUGUAUCUCUCCUUGUUGGCAUGUCCAGGGGCUGCUUGAACCUCCUUACAUCAUGGCAUCUUGGUUCCAAGCUUGAGCACCCCAAGAGCAUGAGGCAGAAGCUGUGUUGCUGCUUAUGAAUUGACCUUUGAAGUCACAUCAUGUCACUUCUGUGAUAAUCACACACUGGCCCAGAGUCAAGGGAAGGGAAUGCAAAGCCCACCUCUCAACAGAGACCUAGAAAUACCCAAAUGGUGGUCCCACUUUGCUCCCCCAAAGCACUCCCUCAACAGGAGGGGUGUCAAUACCACCCUGAAAGAAGAUCAUGUGGAAUGGGGGAUCUUGUGGACGUUUCACAGUGUUAUGGUAAACACAGGCAAAGACAAGAAGGCAAGCACAGAUAAGUUGAUUGUGGCUCAGUUCUUUGAAGGAGAUCAGUAGGCUUUUGUGGGGAUGAAGGGGGAACUAACUUUCUGCAGUACAGUCAGGAAGCCUCUCUGGAGCUGAGACCAGAAAGCUCUACUGUCAUGGGAAGAGGCACCAGGCAAAAGAAGCAGCAAGGACCCAUGCUGGAGGCCAGAAAGGGUGCAGGCUGGAAGGCCAGGCAGACUUGAAUCCUGCCCAGUCAUUAUUUUCCCUCUGGCAAGGCACUUUACCUUGGUGGGGAAAAGUGCGUCUUUUAAAAAGGAGAGUAAUUCCAAAUCACCUGAGUCCACGAGAUGACUAACGUGCUGUCUUCAUCCUCGUGCCUGGCUCACAUGUGGGUUACAGCUUUUUUGUCUUUCUCCCUGGUUUUUGUUUUUAAAUUGCUGGCUGGUACUAUGUUUAUGGGCUUGGAGAAUUUCCUCCAAAAUGAAAUCAAUACUGCCAGCCCUACUUUAUGGGGGAGUGAUUUCCAAAUUGCACAGAAUAAAUGCCUCUAAUAUCUGCAUUUCUGAGACUAGAGCCUGUCACCGCUGGAGUGACUGACUGCAGGAGAUGAGACAGGGUCAGUUGGCGGUAGGGGUGGGGGGCUUGGAACCGCAGGAGCAGAGGGUACACUGGCCAAGGGUGGAAGGUGCUGACCAGUAACUGCUUGGAAAAAACCACCGUGUUUCAGUAGGAUCUCAGUUGCAAUCCACUGCUUGUGUGAAGGAGGGCUGCUGAUUCAGCAGCAAAAGGGUUGGAAAUAAAAUGGAAGAAAUGGAAAGUAGA